UAAGGAAUAUUAGAAAUGGACGAAAGUCUGAUCUAGCAACACCGCGUGUGCGAAGAAGGCCUUCGGGUUGUAAAGCACUUUUUGGAAGGAUUAGGAAGGAAUGUACUUCCAGAAUAAGUCUCGGCUAACUACGUGCCAGCAGCCGCGGUAACACGUAGGAGGCAAACGUUAUCCGGAUUUACUGGGCGUAAAGCGCGUGUAGGUGGUUCUGUAAGUAGGGCGUGAAAGCUCCUGGCUCAACUGGGAGAGGCCGUUCUAAACUGCAGAGCUAGAGGAUGGGAGAGGGAGGUGGAAUUCCGGGUGUAGUGGUGAAAUGCGUAGAUAUCCGGAGGAACACCAGUGGCGAAAGCGGCCUCCUGGACCACUCCUGACACUCAGACGCGAAAGCUAGGGUAGCAAACG
rnacentral:rRNA from 1 species